rnacentral:rRNA from 1 species
UACGUAGGCAGCGAGCGUUGUUCGGAAUUAUUGGGCGUAAAGCGCGUGUAGGCGGCGUGACAAGUCGGGUGUGAAAGCCCUCAGCUCAACUGAGGAAGUGCGCCCGAAACUGCAGAGCUUGAGUACCGGAGAGGAUGGCGGAAUUCCCCAAGUAGAGGUGAAAUUCGUAGAUAUGGGGAGGAACACCGGUGGCGAAGGCGGCCAUCUGGACGGAUACUGACGCUGAGACGCGAAAGCGUGGGUAGCAAACAGG